AAUUCUCAAAACCCUUUUCUUUGAAAAGGAUUUUUGGACUUGGAGGUUCAAUGCUUGCUUUUGGUUUUGAAAGUGAGCUCCUCUUAAAUGAAUUAGUGGGGUCUGCUUUGCUGGUCCUUAACGUGAUAAGGUGUUUCUACG
rnacentral:misc_RNA from 1 species